CAAUAGCGUAUAUUAAAGUUGUUGCAGUUAAAAAGCUCGUAGUUGGAUUUCUGAUGAGAGUACGGGUCGGCCUUAACGGGUUGCACUGUUGUUACGUCUCGUCGUUUCGAGGGGAAUGGGUUCGCUAUUAGGUUAGUGGGCUCGGGAACCUUGUCGUUUACUGUGAAAAAUUAGAGUGUUCAAAGCAGGCCUUUGCUGUGAAUACAUUAGCAUGGAAUAAUAAGAUAGGACUGUAGUGCUAUUUUGUUGGUUUGCGUACUAUGGUAAUGAUUAAUAGGGAUAGUUGGGGGUAUUCAUAUUCAAUUGUCAGAGGUGAAAUUCUUGGAUUUAUGGAAGAUGAACUACUGCGAAAGCAUUUACCAAGGAUGUUUUCAUUAA
rnacentral:rRNA from 1 species